UGGGGAAUUUUGGACAAUGGGCGAAAGCCUGAUCCAGCAAUGCCGCGUGAGUGAAGAAGGCCUUCGGGUUGUAAAGCUCUUUUAGUCGGAAAGAAAGAGUUGCAAUGAAUAAUUGUGAUUUAUGACGGUACCGACAGAAAAAGCACCGGCUAACUACGUGCCAGCAGCCGCGGUAAUACGUAGGGUGCGAGCGUUAAUCGGAAUUACUGGGCGUAAAGGGUGCGCAGGCGGUCUUGCAAGCCAGAUGUGAAAGCCCCGGGCUUAACCUGGGAAUUGCGUUUGAAACUGCAAGGCUAGAGUGCAGCAGAGGGGAGUGGAAUUCCAUGUGUAGCAGUGAAAUGCGUAGAGAUGUGGAAGAACACCGAUGGCGAAGGCAGCUCCCUGGGUUGACACUGACGCUCAUGCACGAAAGCGUGGGGAGCAAACA
rnacentral:rRNA from 1 species